AGGCUGACUGAAAGCCCCCUUCAGGCUCCCUUGCGUCCAGCCCUGCCAUUGUGCACAUUGGACAACUGAGGUCCUAGGUGGCUCAAGCACUCGCCCCAAUCCCAUGAAACCACAAGCCAAGCCCAACAAAACUCACAUCAUGCACAGCCCUGCCUGGUGCCCCAUUUCCAGGGGGAUUUGGCCCUGCCUGGGCUGCAGUCCAUGAGACUGGAGGUCUUCAGCCCUGUCCUGCUGUCCCUUACCUGGCUUCUCUGCUGACAGCCCGCAAAUGGGCUGGGCCCAAGCCCACUUCUGCUGUGGGGCUGGCCUGGGCUGGGACAGUGCUGCAGCAGCUGUCGGAGGCCUUGGCACACUGGCCGGCAGGGAGUUAUUAGACACCAUGGAAGGUGGUGUUCUGGGGCUGAGCUAGCAGCGGGACUGGGAAGGGUGUUUCCGGCCGAGGCCGGGGCCUGCACGAGCUCAUUGGAUGCUCCUGAAAGCCACAGGUGAGCCCCCGGCCACUGGCCUGCUUGCUUUCCCAGAAUAAGGACAAUAUCGGUAUUUGCUAGGAUUACUGCGUCUACGCUCCCCUUUCUUGAGCAUUUACUUUGCUCCCCACAUUGAAUCCUCCCACAUCCCCACUCCUCUCAUUGAAUCCUCAGAGUAACUCUGUGAAAGAGGUCUUCUCAUCCUCCCAUUUUAGAGAUGAGAAAACUGAGACAGAGGUAAAAAAUGACUUGUCCAGGUAGUCGCUGCCGUAGGUAGUCAAGAUUUGAACUUGAGCAGUCUGAGGGAAACAAAAAUACCCAUCGCUUUUCAUCUCAUUAACCUCCCAAGGCUCCAAGAACGGAAAGCCACGGGACAUCUGAGGCAGGACGCCGUCCCACUAAAGUGCGUGUCUCACGGCGGGCGUGGGCCCGGCCAGCUUGCUAGCACUGGCAGCUGCAGAGCAAACUCCGUCUAGCAACGGGGCCCCCGGGCAGCCGUCCGCCCAGCCAGCGCAGACCCCGUUGACACACGGAGACACAGACCUGUAAAUCCCAUUAGGAGAAAAACGGGAAGCACGAGACAGUCCUGAAUCCACUCUGCAUCUGCACCCAGAAAGGAUGGAAAAAGAUUCUAGAAAGGCCGAUCCUUUCACAUUUUAUAUCAAUUACGUUCCCUUUACAAGUUUCUGCCAAAUUACUUAUAUUUCUAAGUUUAAAGGAAAAAGGAGUCAGCAGAUGGCGGCCCCUGGGCUAGCAGAGAGUGACUGAGAGAGGAGACUGCGCUGCCUUCCACGCUGACGGUGGCGCGGGAGUGCACGCUUUCUGCCCGCAUCCGCUCGCCGGGCUCGGAAGGCUGCCCAGGGCGCCGCAGCUGACAAACAGGCCGGCCACCGGCUCCUGCUCCAGGUACGUCAGCCACCAGCCCGGCGAGCCCACUCUGCCUCCCCUGCCAUCGAGCCCGUCCUCCUCUGUCCUCCUCUGUCCUCCGAGCCACCGGCUGGACGGGACACGGCAGGUACGCACACGAGACUUGGUUCUGCUCCCAGGCCUGGGGGAGUCCCUCCACGCCUGUCCAGCCCAGCCCAGACCACGAGGGCCUCGUAAGUGGGGGUCUGUUUAGAAAUUCCUCCUCCGCCUGCCUGGUGCCCAGGACAGGCACAGACAAGGGUCCCGGAGCAUCUGCGGAUUGGCCAGCUGGCCCCAAAAGUCUGCCAGGAAGUCAGCUGUUUGUAACUCCGAAUGUACUUCCCUGCAGAGACAAAGCCCCCAGUGGUCAUGGGGCCGCCCGGCUAGACCCCAGAGGCCGAUACAAUCGCCAUCAAGCGUGCUGAGCCAAGGCACAAAGGCCUGAAUUAUGUGCAUUGUCCCCGGAGGGUCUGCUGUGUGGAUGGGAAGAGGAAGAGAAAAAACGUGUCCCCUUUGUUUCUCGGGGCUGGCGGAAAGCUCGGCCAGUUCGCCAUGCCAGUGCGUGCGCACCUGUGUAUUAAAGGGAGGCUUGUUAAAAUAAACAAAUCUGGGCAUCAUGA